rnacentral:piRNA from 1 species
UGAAUCUCAGAAGAGACUUUGGACAGGU